rfam:Microdochium bolleyi strain J235TASD1 unplaced genomic scaffold Micbo1qcscaffold_1, whole genome shotgun sequence.
AGCAGUUUGGCGCAGGGGAAGCGCGCCGGGCUCAUAACCCGGAGGUCCUCCGAUCGAAACGGAGAACUGCUA